GAGUAGACCACCACCACAAGUCCCCCAUCUCUUCCUGUUACUUUUCGGUUUCCACCAAGGUUUUUGAUUAUUACAACUGCUGCUCGUAUUGUACCACUGCAUGUUUAAAUCGCCACUUGCAAGUUCCAAGUUAGAAACGUAUGCACCCGCUAAUUUAAUAAAUUAUUUAUACUUGGACUAGAGUUUUUUUAAUGAAAACAUUCUUUCAUUUUUUUAACCCCCGAGAUUCACUUCUCUAGCUUGCUAGUCAUUGUUUUGGCACGAUUAUCUACCUCGAUAUAUAUACCUAGUAAUUACAACUGUUAUUUGGUUAUUACACCAGUUCACAUUUGAGUUCAAGCGGGGGUUCAAAAGGGCAAAGAAAGCAAUGCCGCUGCCGGUGGAUGCAGCACUGCUGUCCACAAAUGCACUCCGACGCCGUUAAAUAUGUCUGAUUAGUGAACUGCCUGCUGAAAGCCUUGUCCGUGCUCUCUUCCUUUGUUUUGCAGGGCUUCUCCAGCAAUUCAAACGCUGUCAGGGUGAAGAAAGACGCACCGAAGCAGGUGAUAACUGAAGGGAGCCUUAUCUACUUCUUGUAGGGAGAACUAAGGGCUGAAAUGAAGACUGUUGGUGAUCCUGGUUUGCCUGUUCAACAUCAUCAACUUGGGAGAAAUAAGGACUGAAAACACUUGAAGUGGGCUGAAGCGAUAGAGGAAUAGCAGCAGGCUGAAAUGGCUUAAUUAUCUGAGGCCAAAUAUUAAGAAGCGUGGUGACAUGGCUGAAACUUGUUUCAUGGCUAGAACAUUUUGUAUUCAUGUUUUUGUUGUGCUUUUGUAUGGAAACAUAGCUGGAACAUGUAUGUGCUAGAAUAUUAUUUAUGGUUGGAAAUAAUAUUUAUAUAUCGUUUGGGAUGGUUAUCAUAAUUGUACAAGUGCUUAUGUGGUUCAUAAUCUAUGAUUUUUUAGUUGAGCUGGCUCA